AGCCUCGUAGCUCAGCUGGUAGAGCGCUCGUUGUACAAAACCUCAUAGGCAGCGUCCAUGAGUGGGUUCAAAUCCCAUCGAGACUA
rnacentral:tRNA from 1 species